rnacentral:rRNA from 1 species
GACGAACGCUGGCGGCGUGCUUAACACAUGCAAGUCGAACGGAAAGGCCCUGCGUUUGUGGGUUGCUCGAGUGGCGAACGGGUGAGUAACACGUGAGUAACCUGCCCUUGACUUUGGGAUAACUUCAGGAACGUGGGGCUAAUACCGGAUAGGAGCUCCUGCUGCCUUGUGUCGGUUGGAAAGUUGCGGCGGUGGGGGAUGGACUCGCGGCUUGUCAGUAUGUUGGUGGGGUAGUGGCUUACCAAGGCUUUGACGGGUAGCCGGCCUGAGAGGGUGACCGGCCACAUUGGGACAGAGAUACGGCCCAGACUCCUACGGGGGGCAGCAGUGGGGAAUAUUGCACAAGGGGCGGAAGCCUGAGGCAGCAACGCCGCGUGCGAGAUGACGGCCUUCGGGUUGUAGACCGCUUUCGCCUGUGACGAAGCGUGAGUGACGGUAAUGGGUAAAGAAGCACCGGCUAACUACGUG